rnacentral:rRNA from 1 species
UGUGUAGGCGGUUGGAUAAGUGUGGUGUGAAAUCUCCCGGCUUAACUGGGAGGGUGCGCUACAAACUGUCUGACUAGAGUGUGGGAUGGGAAAGUGGAAUUCCUGGUGUAGCGGUGAAAUGCGUAGAUAUCAGGAGGAACACCGGUGGUGUAGACGGCUUUCUGGACCAUAACUGACGCUGAGACACGAAAGCGUGGGUAGCAAACAGGAUUAGAUACCCUGGUAGUCCACGCCCUAAACGAUGCAUAUUUGGUAUGAGUCAUUCAUUUGAUUCGUGCCGGAGCUAACGCGUUAAAUAUGCCGCCUGGGGAGUACAGUCGCAAGGCUGAA